UACGGGGGGGGCAAGCGUUGUUCGGAAUUACUGGGCGUAAAGGGCGCGUAGGCGGUUCGCUAAGUUGAAUGUGAAAACUCUGGGCUUAAUCCAGAGCCUGCAUUCAAUACUGGCGGGCUAGAGUUCUGGAGGGGAUAGCGGAAUUCCUGGUGUAGCGGUGAAAUGCGCAGAUAUCAGGAGGAACACCGGUGGCGAAGGCGGGUCUCUGGGCCGAUACUGACGCUGAGGAGCGAAAGCGUGGGGAGCGAACAGG
rnacentral:rRNA from 1 species